AUGGGCGGUGUCGAUCAGAGAUCAGCCACUGCAGUGACACAGCGGCGCGCGCUGUGUUUCCUUUUUGCUGCACAAAAAGGCGAAAAGAGGAAACUUCACCACGCUGUUUCGGGGGCUUUUGCUGUAAGAGGAGCCGAGAACCUGGCAUCCUAUGCAGCAAGAUGUCACUUCUGCCAACCCGACAAGUGUCCCAGCGGCGUGCAAACGGAGCCAGGAGACUUUGGCAUCUCAGCAACGCCACAACCUUGGUGCCGUGGAGCCCCGCGGAGGCAGGAUGGGCCCGGGGAAGCUGCUCGGGGCCGCUGGCCUAGUAGGGAGGCGCGGGAAAAAAAUGCAAACUCAGACCUGGUCGGAUCCUUGGGCCCAGCAGCAGACAAGCGAUGCACGUGCCUGCGGGCUCGCAGGAGCCGUGCCUGUGCACUUCUUCGUGAACAGCAUCGCAAAGUCACGGAGAAGACGGGUCUUUGGUCUAAUCCAACACCAGCAGGCAGAGCAGUGAAGAGUGAGAGCUGAGACCUUGCGUGCCAGGAGCAGCCUCCUUCCAGCCAGGCACUGGCUGAAGCCUUUCCAGACCCGUCACAAGAGGGAGACAAAAAGCCAACAGCGGCAGGACAUUUGGCCUUGAAACAUUGAUUUACAACAUAAAAUGGAAACGUUUCAUUUCCAAAAUGAGAAGCAGAGUGUUUCAGCUCUUCCUGUGUUGGGGGUUGCAUAGGAAAAUGGCAUGGGCUGAAAGUCUCCCUCCAGUUCGAAAUGCAUUUUCCACAAAAUGCAAUUUCUGCAUUGUUCCAGACUCUGUUUCCUGGUUAGUAAAAUACUUUAUCUGGAAGACCUGUGAGCCUGACUAAAGGAAAAUUGUGCAACUAUCAGCGAGAGCUGCAAGGAAGAAGACUGAGGUCUUUUACAUGCCCAGAAGAUACUUCCGUGCUCCGGACCUCUGUCACGGUGGAUUUAUGCAGCUCCACAAGAAGGAAGCAGACAUGUCAAGCUCACACUUCCUUCAACUUGAUCUUCUCCCGCACCCACUGACAUUAAGCAGCAUCCUUUGCCCGCUGCUGAUACCACACAGUCUGCUGACAUCCUCCCACUCCAGCCCGUGAAGGUCAUCACCACCUAGCGUCAGCCAAAUUAGCCACGUGUGCAGCCAGCACAUCAGCCCCGGGCCAAAAGGCCUCAUUAGGAGCUGUUUAUCUUCAUCCUCACGACAGAUAACCUCGACAAAACGAGCAUCUAGGGUCACACGCUCUAUACACUCCUGCAGGAAAGCCCUCCCUGGGCGGGCGCCUUUUGGGCCGAGAAAGUUCAAGAAUGGGGCAGGCGAAGGGAGCUGCCAUGCCAGGAAGACUGGAGCCACUAGACCAAUGUGGACCCUAUGAGGUGGCAAGGGACUGUGCUGCGGCCCCCCCCCCAGGUCCACCGCAGAGCAUAUACAGCGGUGACAUGUUGCUCGGCACAGCCCUUUGGUGUUCAGGCCACCAGUCGCUUUUAAGGAAAGGACCCUACAGCUACAUUU
rnacentral:lncRNA from 1 species